CUGGCGCUAUGAAGUGCCUCUGCGCUCUGGUGCUCUGUGUUGACAGGCUUUUUAUGGUGUGGUAACAAAAGAGCUAGGAGAGGGGAUGAGGGAGAAAGCAGUGGGAUGGGAGGUGCCACAGCAGAGAACUAAUCCUUUAAGGAGACUCCAGAUUGUUUAAUGCAGCAACAGGAGGAAAAUAGUUUAUUAGAUUUCACCAUUGAAGCAAAGAAGAAAUAUUCCAGUUGCCUUUUAACUUUGGAAAUUAAUUUAUAAAGAAACUAAGAAGUCUUCUUUCCCCAGUGUGUGCGCCUCUAUUCACCU